AGAGUUUGAUCCUGGCUCAGAUUGAACGCUGGCGGCAUGCCUAACACAUGCAAGUCGAACGGAAACGAUGGAAGCUUGCUUCCAGGCGUCGAGUGGCGGACGGGUGAGUAAUACAUAGGAAUCUGCCCAGUAGUGGGGGACAACCUGGGGAAACUCAGGUUAAUACCGCAUGAGCCCUUCGGGGGAAAGCGGGGGAUCUUCGGACCUCGCGCUAUUGGAUGAGCCUAUGUCUGAUUAGCUUGUUGGUGGGGUAACGGCCUACCAAGGCGACGAUCAGUAGCUGGUCUGAGAGGAUGAUCAGCUACACUGGGACUGAGACACGGCCCAGACUCCUACGGGAGGCAGCAGUGGGGAAUAUUGGACAAUGGGGGCAACCCUGAUCCAGCAAUGCCGCGUGUGUGAAGAAGGCCUGCGGGUUGUGAAGCACUUUCAGCAGCCAAGAAAAGCCUGGGGUUAAUAUCUCCGGGUUUUGACGUCAACUGCAGAAGUAGCACCGGCUAACUCUGUGCCAGUAGCCGUGGUAAUACAGAGGGUGCAAGCGUUAAUCGGAAUUACUGGGCGUAAAGCGCGCGUAGGCGGUUUGUUUAGUCGGAUGUGAAAGCCCCGGGCUUAAUUUGGGAAUUGCAUUCGAUACUGGCAGGUUAGAGUAUGGUAGAGGGAAGUGGAAUUUUGGGUGUAGUGGUGAAAUGUGUAGAUAUUUGGAGGAAUAUUAGUGGUGAAGGUGGCUUCCUGGACCAAUACUGAUGCUGAGGUGCGAAAGCGUGGGGAGUAAAUAGGAUUAGAUAUCCUGGUAGUCCACGCUGUAAACGAUGAGAACUAGACGUUGGGUUCAUUUAAGGGCUUAGUGUUGUAGCUAACGCGUGAAGUUCUCCGCCUGGGGAGUACGGUCGCAAGAUUAAAACUCAAAGGAAUUGACGGGGGCCCGCACAAGCGGUGGAGCAUGUGGUUUAAUUUGAUGCAAUGUGAAGAAUUUUACCUGCCCUUGAUAUUUUUGGAAUUUGUUAGAGAUGAUUUGGUGUUUUUGGGAAUUGAGUGACAGGUGCUGCAUGGCUGUCGUCAGCUCGUGUUGUGAGAUGUUGGGUUAAGUCUCGCAACGAGCGUAACCCUUGUCCUUAGUUGCCAGUAUUUAGUUGGGUAUUUUAAGGAGACUGCCGGUGACAAACCGGAGGAAGGUGGGGAUGACGUUAAGUCAUCAUGGCCCUUAUGGGCAGGGCUACACACGUGCUACAAUGGUCGGUAUAAAGGGUUGUUAAUUUGUAAGGGGGAGUUAAUUUUAUAAAGCCGAUCGUAGUCCGGAUUGGAGUCUGUAAUUUGACUCCAUGAAGUCGGAAUCGCUAGUAAUCGCAGAUCAGUAUGUUGUGGUGAAUACGUUCCCGGGCCUUGUACACACCGCCCGUCACACCAUGGGAGUUGGCUGCAAAAGAAGUAGGUAGUCUAACCUUCGGGAGGACGCUUACCACUUUGUGGUCAAUGACUGGGGUGAAG
rnacentral:rRNA from 1 species